CUUUUUCUACUCUGGUGUGAUGGGACAGAGAUCUGAAACUGAGAACAAAUGGAGUUAUACUGAGACUUGAGUCUCCAUGUUUAGAGCAGGCCACAUAGUAGAGUUAUUGGGGUGUGAGCAUGAAGCUAAACUAGAUGGCAGACUGAGGAGCUAAUCCCUCUCUGCUCCUCCCUUUGCCUGGACCCCUCCCCUGGCCUGCAGGCCUGAUCUGUCCUUUGGAAUUUUCCUUCGCAGAAGCCUCAGUGUAAAGUCUGCCGAUCAUGCCCUGUGGUGCAGUCGAGCCAGCACCUGUUUCUGGACCUGCCUAAGCUGGAGAAGCGACUGGAGGAGUGGUUGGGGAGGACAUUGCCUGGCAGUGACUGGACACCCAAUGCCCGGUUUAUCAUCCGUUCUUGGC
rnacentral:sRNA from 1 species